GAGAAGUAGGCAGUAUUAUAUGCGGCUAGCUUGAAACUAGACGGAGGGGGUGUGAGUCCCUCGCUUCUUG
rnacentral:tRNA from 1 species